GUAGGUCCCGAGCGUUGUCCGGAUUUAUUGGGCGUAAAGCGAGCGCAGGCGGUUAGAUAAGUCUGAAGUUAAAGGCUGUGGCUUAACCAUAGUACGCUUUGGAAACUGUUUAACUUGAGUGCAGAAGGGGAGAGUGGAAUUCCAUGUGUAGCGGUGAAAUGCGUAGAUAUAUGGAGGAACACCGGUGGCGAAAGCGGCUCUCUGGUCUGUAACUGACGCUGAGGCUCGAAAGCGUGGGGAGCGAACAGGAUUAGAUACCCUGGUAGUCCACGCCGUAAACGAUGAGUGCUAGGUGUUAGGCCCUUUCCGGGGCUUAGUGCCGCAGCUAACGCAUUAAGCACUCCGCCUGGGGAGUACGACCGCAAGGUUGAA
rnacentral:rRNA from 1 species